AUUGAACGCUGGCGGCAUGCUUUACACAUGCAAGUCGAACGGCAGCACGGGUGCUUGCACCUGGUGGCGAGUGGCGAACGGGUGAGUAAUGCAUCGGAACGUAUCCAAGAGUGGGGGAUAACGCAUCGAAAGGUGUGCUAAUACCGCAUACGCCCUGAGGGGGACAGUGGGGGACCGUAAGGCUCCACGCUGAUGGAGCGGCCGAUGUCAGAUUAGCUAGUUGGUGAGGUAAAGGCUCACCAAGGCGACGAUCUGUAGCUGGUCUGAGAGGAUGAUCAGCCACACUGGGACUGAGACACGGCCCAGACUCCUACGGGAGGCAGCAGUGGGGAAUUUUGGACAAUGGGGGCAACCCUGAUCCAGCCAUGCCGCGUGAGUGAAGAAGGCCUUCGGGUUGUAAAGCUCUUUCGCAAGGGAAGAAAACUUAGUUCUUAAUACGAGCUGAGGAUGACGGUACCUUGAUAAGAAGCACCGGCUAACUACGUGCCAGCCGCCGCGGUAACAC
rnacentral:rRNA from 1 species